rnacentral:lncRNA from 1 species
UAACACCUGAAUUAUAUUACGAGAAUACAACAGCAUAUACCAUAGACAGUGACAGAAUCCAUUCACGCAGCAUUCUUUUUUCUCUGUUUUGUCACUCAUCGAAAACAAUAAAGCGAAGAGGGCAGUAUGGGUUUCGCUGAUGCAUCAACCUACCUGCUAAUCACUUUUACUCUCAAUAAAUUGCCAACAUGAGAUUCCGCAGGAAUUAAAAGGUUUAAUUCAACGUGCUACUCACGUGCCACCUAGUGCCAACCGAAGAUAACUUUCCCGGUCUUACGGCGGGACUGAUACACGUUCCAUUCACGAUCCGUGAUUAACAAUAGACCAUACGAUUUUUCUAUUGUAGCGUUUUUCAUAUGUCUGGGAAUGGCUGAAAAGAGUGACGCAAAAGUCAGGACAGUUUGAAAAAUGAUUGGAAUAAUGACCACACUGGCUGGAUACAUGGAAAGGAAAGGCUAUAAACUCCAAAUGGAGGAAAUUAGGUGUCCACAUGAAUUAUAAACGGUGGAUUAAUUGGACGACCAAACCCACUCUUUUUUCACGUUCUCUGCAGUUAACCAUCACAAAAUUGUUUUUAUUCUGUUUUAUAUAAAUCAGGCAGAAAUGUAAAUAAAUUCUCGUCGUGACCCUCGAA